UAACACAUGCAAGUCGAACGAUGAACCUGGAGCUUGCUCUAGGGGAUUAGUGGCGAACGGGUGAGUAACACGUGAGUAACCUGCCCUUGACUCUGGGAUAACCUCCGGAAACGGAAGCUAAUACCGGAUACGACGUACGGAGGCAUCUCCUGUACGUGGAAAGAACUUCGGUCAAGGAUGGACUCGCGGCCUAUCAGGUAGUUGGUGAGGUAACGGCCCACCAAGCCUACGACGGGUAGCCGGCCUGAGAGGGUGACCGGCCACACUGGGACUGAGACACGGCCCAGACUCCUACGGGAGGCAGCAGUGGGGAAUAUUGCACAAUGGGCGCAAGCCUGAUGCAGCAACGCCGCGUGAGGGAUGACGGCCUUCGGGUUGUAAACCUCUUUUAGUAGGGAAGAAGCGAAAGUGACGGUACCUGCAGAAAAAGCACCGGCUAACUACGUGCCAGCAGCCGCGGUAAUACGUAGGGUGCGAGCGUUGUCCGGAAUUAUUGGGCGUAAAGAGCUCGUAGGCGGUCUGUCGCGUCUGCUGUGAAAACCCGAGGCUCAACCUCGGGCCUGCAGUGGGUACGGGCAGACUAGAGUGCGGUAGGGGAGAAUGGAAUUCCUGGUGUAGCGGUGGAAUGCGCAGAUAUCAGGAGGAACACCGAUGGCGAAGGCAGUUCUCUGGGCCGUAACUGACGCUGAGGAGCGAAAGCGUGGGGAGCGAACAGGAUUAGAUACCCUGGUAGUCCACGCCGUAAACGUUGGGCG
rnacentral:rRNA from 1 species